rnacentral:rRNA from 1 species
UCGGAAGCCGGGAAUGGAAAGCCCGGUGCAAGCGGGGUACCAGCCACUCAGGCAAAUCCGGGUGGCAAUGGGAAGCCGUGAUGCGGAGCGAAAUACAAGUAGCGAAGUCCGUGAGCCAUGCGUCAAGAAAAGCCGCUAUUGUUUAUACCGUACCCGUACCGUAAACCGACACAGGUGGAUGAGGAGAGAAUCCUAAGGCCGGCGGAAGAAGCAUUGUCAAGGAACUCGGCAAAAUGACCCCGUAACUUCGGGAGAAGGGGUGCCACUGAGAAGUGGCCGCAGAGAAUAGGCUCAAGCAACUGUUUAGCAAAAACACAGGUCUAUGCGAAACCGAAAGGUGAGGUAUAUGGGCUGACGCCUGCCCGGUGCUGGAAGGUUAAGAGGAGAGGUUAGCGCAAGCGAAGCUUUGAAUUUAAGCCCCAGUAAACGGCGGCCGCAACGAUAACGGUCCUAAGGUAGCGAAAUUCCUUGUCGGGUAAGUUCCGACCCGCACGAAAGGCGUAAUGAUUUGAGCGCUGUCUCGACAAUGCAUCCGGUGAAAUUGAAGUACCAGUGAAGAUGCUGGUUACCUGCGCCAGGACGGAAAGACCCCAUGGAGCUUUACUCCAGUUUGGUACUGGGGUCCGGUAUUGCAUGUACAGGAUAGGUGGGAGGCUAGGAAGCAGUAACGCCAGUUGCUGCGGAGCCGCUGUUGGGAUACCACCCUUGCAGUACUGGGCUUCUAACCAGCCGCCGUGAACCGGCGGUGGGACAAUGCCAGACGGGGAGUUGGACUGGGGCGGUCGCCUCCGAAAGGGUAUCGGAGGCGCCCAAAGGUUCCCUCAGAAUGGACGGAAACCAUUCGAAGAGUGCAAAGGCAGAAGGGAGCUUGACUGCGACACCGACGGGUGGAGCAGGUACGAAAGUAGGGCUUAGUGAUCCGGUGGUAUUAAGUGGGAAUGCCAUCGCUCAACGGAUAAAAGCUACCCUGGAUAACAGGCUUAUCACUCCCAAGAGUUCACAUCGACGGAGUGGUUUGGCACCUCGAUGUUGGCUCAUCGCAUCCUGGGGCUGUAGUAGGUCCCAAGGGUUGGGCUGUUCGCCCAUUAAAGCGGUACGCGAGCUGGGUUCAGAACGUCGUGAGACAGUUCGGUCCCUAUCCGGCGUGGGCGUAGGAUAUCUGAGAGGAGCUGUCCUUAGUACGAGAGGACCGGGAUGGACGGACCGCUGGUGUACCGGUUAGACUGCCAAGUCUACGGCCGGGUAGCCAAGUCCGGAAGGGAUAAACGCUGAAGGCAUCUAAGCGUGAAGCCCCCCUCAAGAUGAGAUGUCCCAUUCGAAAGAAGUAAACCCCCUUGAAGACGACGAGGUAGAUAGGGCAGGGGUGGAAGUGCAGUAAUGCACGGAGCUGACUGUUACUAAUAGGGUGAGGGCUUGAU